UACAGAGGUCCCGACCGUUGUUCGGAUUCAUUGGGCGUAAAGGGUGCGUAGGCGGCGGGGCAAGUCUGAUGUGAAAUCCCGGGGCUCAACCCCGGAACUGCAUUGGAUACUGCCUUGCUCGAGUACUGGAGAGGGAACUGGAAUUUACGGUGUAGCAGUGAAAUGCGUAGAGAUCGUAAGGAAGGCCAGUGGCGAAGGCGAGUUCCUGGACAGUUACUGACGCUGAGGCACGAAGGCCAGGGGAGCAAACGGG
rnacentral:rRNA from 1 species